UGCCCAGCAACUCCUAUCCCUACCUCCUCGCGGUACUGGCCGGAGUACGAGUAGCCUUAGGAAAGAUCGGGUAACCAACUCCGGUGGGAACUCUGGUCGUAUGCUGACAGGAAAGG
rnacentral:ribozyme from 1 species